UGGAGUUCAGUUCCCAGCACCCACGUGGUGGCCCACAACUAUAUGUAACUUCAGUUCCAGUCCCAAAACUCCUUCUGACUUCCAAGAGCUCAUUUGUGCUCAUAAAUGUUUUUUUUUUUCGAAGCUGGGGACCGAACCCAGGGUCUUGCACUUGCUAGGCAAGUGCUCUAUCACUGAGCUAAAUCCCCAACCCGCUCAUAAAUGUUUUAAAGAAUAUUUUUUAAUUAUUUACUGAAUUAUUUUUCACACUAGCUUGCACUGAUUCAUGCAAAACAUGAGGGAGUUGAACUUCAGAUGUGUCCUGAUCAUCAGAAAAGUGACUGAAUACAGAAGGUUUUCAAAAUACUUUUGAUGUGCCUCAAAUACAGUUGCACAGUCUGGCUACAAUAGUCUCUGAAAAGCCAACAGCUGGGUACAUUGGUUUCAAGCAAAGUAAAUGUCCAAAACCUGUAUCUAGCUACUGUUUACACUAGCCCUUCUACAUAGCAUGGCUACAAACAUGAAUAAUGUAGACAAAAAUAUCACUUCAUGCAUAAAAUAAAGUCAUCUAAAAG
rnacentral:lncRNA from 1 species